rnacentral:rRNA from 1 species
UACAGAGGUCUCGAGCGUUGUUCGGAUUCAUUGGGCGUAAAGGGUGCGUAGGCGGCGUGGCAAGUCUGAUGUGAAAUCCCGGGGCUCAACUCCGGAACUGCAUUGGAUACUGCCAUGCUCGAGUACUGGAGAGGAGACUGGAAUUUACGGUGUAGCAGUGAAAUGCGUAGAGAUCGUAAGGAAGACCAGUGGCGAAGGCGAGUCUCUGGACAGUUACUGACGCUGAGGCACGAAGGCCAGGGGAG